AUGGCCGCCACCGCCACGUCCCUAGGCCUCGCUCUCCACCGCCGAGACCACGACCCUAGCUCCCACCGCCGCCCCGUCCCCUCCUCGUCCCUGAUCUCUACCUCCGCCUUCCGCAGCCGCAGCCGCAGGGCCAAGUGCAGCCGCAGGGUUGUGCCUCCACUGUCCGCUGCCGCCGGUGAUCUGGAAGGAAAUGACAUUAGCACCAUAUUUUCUAUGGAAGUAUCAGAAGGACAAACAUUGAAGCAUUCACCUAACAACGUAAUGCUGUCUUCAUCAAGUACAAAAGCUACUUCCUCCAUGGCUGACCAUGUUUCUCUUGGCAACCUCCACCACCACCCCAACAGCCAGUCCUCCUGUUUUGCUACCUCAAAACCAAACCAUGACAAUACCCAUAAAUGCAACCACUCCCCAAAAAUUCCUAGACGGUCUCUCGUCUUACUCCCUGCGUCCUCUCUUCUCCUCUCUGCGUCCUCCUCCUUUGCCAUAGACAAUACAAACGCUUCAUCCUCCUCCACAAUUGACACCACCAUCACCGACCGCAUAUUCAUGGACUUUAGCAUCUGUCCAAGCUUCUUUAGCAAUGACCGCACGUUAGGAGCUGAACUUGCUACAUGCCCUGAUUCCGAGCCCCUCGGACGUGUAGUCUUUGGUCUCUAUGGUCGGCUACUCCCGAUCACUACUGCCAACUUCAAAACUACCUGCACUACUUCUGCAUAUCGAGGCACACUUGUCCAUAAGGUGCUUCAAGGUCAGUUCUUUGCUGCUGGCCGACAAGGUUCUCGGCGUGAUAAAGGUGUGGUCCAACCUCCCUCAAAGCUUGUAAGAAAUGUUGAGACUGUUGAUCCUAAAGCGUAUCAACUAAGACAUGCAAGGCCUGGCACCCUAUCCCUGUGUCUUGAGCAGAAUGACGACGACGAUAGUAUCAAACUCAGUCCCAAUUAUCACAAUGUUGAAUUCCUGGUGACCACAGGGCCAGGGCCCUGUCCAGAGCUUGAUGAUCAGAACAUUGUCUUUGGAACUGUAUUAGAAGGAAUGGACGUUAUCACCAGCAUUGCAACCAUCCCUACCUACAAACCAGGUGAAAGGAUCCAAUUCUUCAAUGAUUUUGCACAGCUGAUUGGCGAUGAAAGAGCUCAGUCUGCCAGAGCUAUGUGGGACCGCCCACAGAAAACCGUAUAUAUCAGCGGUUGCGGGGAGCUGAAAGUGACCAAGCCAUCCCUUUCCCCUCCUAGCUUGCCAUGA
rnacentral:rRNA from 1 species